GACGAACGCUGGCGGCGUGCUUAACACAUGCAAGUCGAACGGAAAGGCCCCCACCUUGGUGGGGGUGCUCGAGUGGCGAACGGGUGAGUAACACGUGGGUGAUCUGCCCUGUACUUCGGGAUAAGCUUGGGAAACUGGGUCUAAUACCGGAUAGGACCAUGGUUUAGUGUCUCAUGGUGGAAAAAUUAUUGUUUUGGUGCAGGAUGAGCUCGCGGCCUAUCAGCUGGUUGGUGGGGUAAUGGCCUACCAAGGCGUCGACGGGUAGCCGGACUGAGAGGGUGGACGGCCACAUUGGGACAGAGAUACGGCCCAGACUCGUACGGGAGGCAGCAGUGGGGAAUAUUGCACAAUGGGCGCAAGCCUGAUGCAGCGACGCCGCGUGGGGGAUGACGGCCUUCGGGUUGUAAACUCCUUUCGUUAGGGACGAAGCCACACCUUUAUGGGGUGUGGUGACGGUACCUUUGUGAAGAAGCACCGGCUAACUACGUG
rnacentral:rRNA from 1 species